UGAAUACGAGACGCUAAGGCGUCGAAGUAGUGUAUGUCAUACUUCCAAGAAAAGCUUGCACUGUCAUAGAUAAAAAACGCCUGUACCAUAACCGACACAGGUGGGUAGGUAGAGUAUACUAAGGGGCGCGAGAUAACUCUCUCUAAGGAACUCGGCAAAAUAACUCCGUAACUUCGGGAGGAGGAGUGCCUUAUUCGUAAGGUUGCAAUAACAAGAUCCAAGCAACUGUUUAUCAAAAACACAGGUCUCCGCUAAGUCGUAAGACGAUGUAUGGGGGCUGACGCCUGCCCAGUGCCAGAAGGUUAAAGAAGUUGGUUAGCAAUUGCGAAGCUGAUAACUGAAGCCCUGGUGAACGGCGGCCGUAACGAUAACGGUCCUAAGGUAGCGAAAUUCCUUGUCGGGUAAGUUCCGACCCACACGAAAGGCGUAAUGAUUUGGAUACUGUCUCGGAGAGGGGCUCGGUGAAAUAGACUUGUCUGUGAAGAUGCGGACUACCUGCACCAGGACAGAAAGACCCUAUGAAGCUUUACUGUAACUUGAAAUUGAAAUUGGACUUUAUUCGCGCAGUAUAGGUGGGAGGCGUUGAUUAUAAUCUUGUGGGAUUAUUGGAGCCAUCAGUGAGAUACCACUCUUGUAAUGUUAGAUUUCUAACUUUGAAUCAUUAUCUGGUCAAAGAACAGUUUCAGGCGGGCAGUUUGACUGGGGCGGUCGCCUCCUAAACGGUAACGGAGGCGUACAAAGGUUUCCUCUGAACGGUUAGAAAUCGUAUCUAGAGUGUAAAGGCAUAAGGAAGCUUGACUGUGAGACCUACAAGUCGAGCAGGGACGAAAGUCGGUCUUAGUGAUCUGACGGUACUGAGUGGAAAGGCCGUCACUCAACGGAUAAAAGUUACUCUAAGGAUAACAGGCUGAUCUCCCCCAAGAGUUCACAUCGACGGGGAGGUUUGGCACCUCGAUGUCGGCUCAUCGCAUCCUGGGGCGGUAGUACGUCCCAAGGGUUGGGCUGUUCGCCCAUGAAAGCGGUACGCGAGCUGGGUUCAGAACGUCGUGAGACAGUUCGGUCCAUAUCCGGUGUAGGCGUUAGAAUAUUGAGAGGAGCCUUCUUUAGUACGAGAGGACCGAGAAGGACAUACCUCUGGUGUACCAGUUAUCGUGCCAACGGUAAACGCUGGGUAGCUAUGUAUGGAGUGGAUAACCGCUGAAAGCAUCUAAGUGGGAAGCCCACCUCAAGAUAAGUAUUCU
rnacentral:rRNA from 1 species